rnacentral:rRNA from 1 species
GGACUCUAGAGAUUAGAGUUUGAUCCUGGCUCAGGACGAACGCUGGCGGCGUGCUUAACACAUGCAAGUCGAACGGAAAGGCCCUUCGGGGUACUCGAGUGGCGAACGGGUGAGUAACACGUGGGUGAUCUGCCCUGCACUUUGGGAUAAGCCUGGGAAACUGGGUCUAAUACCGAAUAGGACCACGCGCUUCAUGGUGUGUGGUGGAAAGCUUUUGCGGUGUGGGAUGGGCCCGCGGCCUAUCAGCUUGUUGGUGGGGUAAUGGCCUACCAAGGCGACGACGGGUAGCCGGCCUGAGAGGGUGACCGGCCACACUGGGACUGAGAUACGGCCCAGACUCCUACGGGAGGCAGCAGUGGGGAAUAUUGCACAAUGGGCGCAAGCCUGAUGCAGCGACGCCGCGUGAGGGAUGACGGCCUUCGGGUUGUAAACCUCUUUCAAUAGGGACGAAGCGCAAGUGACGGUACCUAUAGAAGAAGCACCGGCCAACUACGUGCCAGCAGCCGCGGUAAUACGUAGGGUGCGAGCGUUGUCCGGAAUUACUGGGCGUAAAGAGCUCGUAGGUGGUUUGUCGCGUUGUUCGUGAAAACUCACAGCUUAACUGUGGGCGUGCGGGCGAUACGGGCAGACUAGAGUACUGCAGGGGAGACUGGAAUUCCUGGUGUAGCGGUGGAAUGCGCAGAUAUCAGGAGGAACACCGGUGGCGAAGGCGGGUCUCUGGGCAGUAACUGACGCUGAGGAGCGAAAGCGUGGGGAGCGAACAGGAUUAGAUACCCUGGUAGUCCACGCCGUAAACGGUGGGUACUAGGUGUGGGUUCCUUCCUUGGGAUCCGUGCCGUAGCUAACGCAUUAAGUACCCCGCCUGGGGAGUACGGCCGCAAGGCUAAAACUCAAAGGAAUUGACGGGGGCCCGCACAAGCGGCGGAGCAUGUGGAUUAAUUCGAUGCAACGCGAAGAACCUUACCUGGGUUUGACAUGCACAGGACGCCGGCAGAGAUGUCGGUUCCCUUGUGGCCUGUGUGCAGGUGGUGCAUGGCUGUCGUCAGCUCGUGUCGUGAGAUGUUGGGUUAAGUCCCGCAACGAGCGCAACCCUUGUCCUAUGUUGCCAGCGGGUUAUGCCGGGGACUCGUAGGAGACUGCCGGGGUCAACUCGGAGGAAGGUGGGGAUGACGUCAAGUCAUCAUGCCCCUUAUGUCCAGGGCUUCACACAUGCUACAAUGGCCGGUACAAAGGGCUGCGAUGCCGUGAGGUGGAGCGAAUCCUUUCAAAGCCGGUCUCAGUUCGGAUCGGGGUCUGCAACUCGACCCCGUGAAGUCGGAGUCGCUAGUAAUCGCAGAUCAGCAACGCUGCGGUGAAUACGUUCCCGGGCCUUGUACACACCGCCCGUCACGUCAUGAAAGUCGGUAACACCCGAAGCCGGUGGCCUAACCCUUGUGGAGGGAGCCGUCGAAGGUGGGAUCGGCGAUUGGGACGAAGUCGUAACAAGGUAACCAAUCGUCGACCUC